rnacentral:rRNA from 1 species
UUUACUCCUACGGGAGGCAGCAGUGGGGAAUAUUGCACAAUGGGCGAAAGCCUGAUGCAGCAACGCCGCGUGAGGGACGACGGCCUUCGGGUUGUAAACCUCUUUUAGUAGGGAAGAAGCGAAAGUGACGGUACCUGCAGAAAAAGCACCGGCUAACUACGUGCCAGCAGCCGCGGUAAUACGUAGGGUGCAAGCGUUAUCCGGAAUUAUUGGGCGUAAAGAGCUCGUAGGCGGUUUGUCGCGUCUGCUGUGAAAACCCGAGGCUCAACCUCGGGCCUGCAGUGGGUACGGGCAGACUAGAGUGCGGUAGGGGAGAUUGGAAUUCCUGGUGUAGCGGUGGAAUGCGCAGAUAUCAGGAGGAACACCGAUGGCGAAGGCAGAUCUCUGGGCCGUAACUGACGCUGAGGAGCGAAAGCAUGGGGAGCGAACAGGAUUAGAUACCCUGGUAGUCCAUGCCGUAAACGUUGGGCGCUAGAUGUGGGGACCAUUCCACGGUUUCCGUGUCGCAGCUAACGCAUUAAGCGCCCCGCCUGGGGAGUACGGCCGCAAGGCUAAAACUCAAAGGAAUUGACGGGGGCCCGCACAAGCGGCGGAGCAUGCGGAUUAAUUCGAUGCAACGCGAAGAACCUUACCAAGGCUUGACAUAUACGAGAACGCUCUAGAAAUAGAGACUUCCCUAAC